AUGAAUGCACAAAUUAAAUUUAGAGCAAUAAAAUUAGUUUGUGUUCCUAUUAAGUUUUUUACAGUGAUUGUUAAUAACAGCACAGACUGUAACUCAGAUUUUUUUCUCAGUUUGCCCUUUGGUUUAUUUAACUUGCUCAACCAAUCUUUGUCCAUGACAGCGGUCGGACUACUUUUUAUUUUAAGUAUUUUUCUCAACAUUUUCAGGUUUGAAGAAGCAACACAUCAAGGUUUUGAGGAGGAAUCACUGGAAUCUUUUUCAAGCUUAUUUUUCAGUUUUCUGUUUUGGAUAAAGAUGCCAGAGAAGAAGAUCGGAAGUCCAGGGAUGAGUAUCUUCAGCCGGUGUCGGGUGGCCGCAGCAGUUGCUCUGAUCUUGAUCAUACUGGGAGGGCUGGGAGCCGCCAUCUGGGCCCUUGGUGAGACUUUCUACAAUACAUGCUGAUUUAAAUACUAUAUAUAUAUAUAUAUAUACAUAUAAACUUAUACAAGUUUUUUUUUUAAAAAAGUAUUACCAUUUAUAUACACAUACAUACAGACAGCUAUCUAGUUAGAUGGCUAGACAGACAGACAGACAGACAGACAGACAGAUAGAUAGAUAGAUAGAUAGAUAGAUAGAUAGAUAGAUAGAUAGAUAGAUAGAUAGAUAGAUAGAUAGAUAGAUAGAUAGACAGACAGACAGACAGAUAGACAGAUAGACAGACAGACAGACAUAUAGACAGAUAGAUAGAUAGAUAGAUAGAUAGAUAGAUAGAUAGAUAGAUAGAUAGACAGACAGACAGACAGACAGACAGACAGACAGAUAGAUAGACAGAUAGAUAGAUAGAUAGAUAGAUAGAUAGAUAGAUAGACAGACAGACAUAGAUAGAUAGAUAGAUAGACACAGACAGACAGACAGGCAGACAGAUAGAUAGAUAGAUAGAUAGACACAGACAGACAGACAGGCAGACAGAUAGAUAUUACAUUUCUAUAUUUCUUAAUAAUUUUAAAAAUCAAUGCAUAAAUUAUAUACUCAAAUGUAUAAUUUUGAGUUAUAAUACUAAUUUAUGUGCAAAUACUAUAUUAUAAACAUAUGGUAAACUACUUACUUUUCUAAAUGCAUAUAUUUGUUGCAUGUGUAAUUCAACAAAUGGCAUCCAGUUAUAAUCUCAGAAAUAACAUCAUUAAUUAGCAUUUUACAUUUUCCAACACAAUGAACAUUGAAGUUGAGCACAUUGCUUUGUAUAAUGCAGUAUUCAGCACAGUGCAUUCUGCUUGUGUACUGUAUUCCCAUGCAACAUAGAAAGUGCACUGGGUCAUCUAUAACAGUAUGAACAUUUUCACUGUGUUGAUCAUGUCCUGCAGUACAGGUGAGUGCAGCAGACCAGAGGCUCCGAGUGUUUGACUCCACCCAGUGGAGGUGGAAACACGUCUGCUCAUCCAGCGCCAACCAGCUCAUCGCCAACAUCAGCUGUGAGGAGAUGGGCUUUGUCAGGUAACAAACACACGAAACGCACCAGGCUCACAGCUAACUUUGAGAAAUUUAGUCAAGCCGGUUUAAAAUAUGACUGGAAUUCAUCAUUAUUUUGGUCAUGUCUUGAUUUGCUUUUACUCUCUAUUCAGAGCAGUGAAUUUCUCAGUGACGUGUGCUCCUGAUAAUGGUGGUGACCAAGAUUUUUUCUGCGUAAAAGAGAGUGAGUUAACUUAUGGGAAGAAGAUAAAGACAGCCCUUUAUCCUUGGUAAGUUACAUACAAUUAAAACUGAAUCUAUGCACCAUGGACUCAUUUUGAAUGGUCAUCAAGGCCAUCAGCAUAUUAGAUGAUUAAUUUUCAUUUGAUCAUAUGAUUUUUUAAAGAAUCAUGUGACGCUAAAGACUGGAGUAAUGAUGCUGAAAAUUCAGCUUUGCAUCACAAAAUAAAUUGCAUUUUAAAAUAUAUUAAAAUAGAAAACAGUUAUUUCAAUAUUUCACAAAUAUUAAUGUUGUUACUCUAUUUUUGUAAGUUAGUCAAAUGGUAAUACAUGCUGAAACCCUGCUAGCAACAUCUUAACUUAUGUUAGCAAAUAUGCUUAAACAUGUAGGAAACAUGUUAACAUCUAGAACCAAGCUAAGACGUAUUAGUUUCGCAUUAAAUAUGGUAGCAAUGUCUGUCUGUCUU
rnacentral:lncRNA from 1 species